GAUCCUUCCAGCUUCGGGUGAUUAACUCACUCCAUUUCAUAGAACUGGGACGCUUUUGAAGAAAACCCAAUGGAAUACACACACACAAGUCACUGGCAAUCAGCGAAGCAGUAGCAGCUCAUGGAGCUGCCCUUCACAAACCUUGAACUAGCUUUCAUCUUGCUGGCUUUUGUCAUUUUCACCUUGUUUACCCUGGCUUCUAUCUACAGUGGCUCCUAUGACAACAAAGAAGAGGAAAGCUACACACGGGAAGAAUACAAGAAAAGGAGCAAAUCCAACAAGAAAAAGAAGCGUUCAAACAUGACUGAAGUGGUUUAGAGUGUUGCCCAAGUCCAGUGUUGGAAACACCUCUGGAAGAGGUAUCCCUGGGAGCUGGUCACCUGAAGACAGUGAAAAAACGGAUGUGAGAAAGGAAGGACCUGGUCAUCCAUCAGAUGGAAUCCAGACGUGACAAUUAGAGUUAAUGAACCACGACCCAUGAAGCUGCUUCAGCGCCUUUUUACAGCCCCACUUCAUGGCCUUCAUAAAAGUACCAGGGCUUAUUUUACAGAGCACAUCUGCUCUAAAUUCCCAAAGGAGAAACUUACAUUCAGAAGUUAUUUUUGUUUCUUCAACACCUCCCAGUCAUUUAUAAAGAAUAUUUAACAGCAAUGCAUUUACUUUUCUACCUGUUCAGUCAACAGAAUAUCAGAAUUUGAAGAUAAUUUAUAUUUUUUUUUCAAUAAAACAAGAUUAUUAUAAUAGUUAUUUAGUUUGCAUUAGCAUUAAUAAGCUGCUGAGGCUGACUGAAAAGUACCAGGCAAAUGUAGUUUUUUUAUUUCUCCAGUACCAUGGCAUCUAUAUCCAAGUACUGCCUUUGAUUUCAAACACUUCGAAACAGUGUGCUUUACUAAAAUCAGGUUGAUUUGCUGCUUUUGCAGAGUGCCUUGCUCAGCCUUAACGUUGAAGCCCUCCUUUUCUUCACAGAGCAGAUAUAACUAAUGAAGCAAUACCUCUUCUUCCCUAAGUCCAGAGCAUCUGCUGAACUUCUAAGGCAGAGGUUGGAACUGAUCCUUCUCGCCUUAUGGACAAAGCACUUCUGCAGUUUUCAGCUCCUAUUCAUUCCCUCAGGUCUCAACCAGUACUACACCCACACUGUUUCUCCUAUCCACAAGCAAAAAGAGGCAAAGGGAAGGACAAAGUAGAUCACAGACUAAUUGUUAGAAAACUCCCUUUUGCAUACUAGGAGACAACCAGAAGAGCUCUGGGCUGGGCUACAAGGUGUAAUAUGCAGACAAAAGAAGUAAUUUUUUUCCUCACCCUCGUGAUAUGAACAAAAAUAUCACAAAAUUGACCCUGUUGUGUCACAAAGCUUCAGGUGGCAAUAGCUGAGCAGCCUAAUUAUGAUUGCACUGCUUUCAGAUUGUCAGUGUCCUUCACAAAAGUAAUGAGAAUGCCUUGUUCUGCUAUUAACCACUAAUUUAAAGAAUAAUCAAUCUGCAUAUUAAUCCAUGACCAAGUAAAUGCUAGAGCCAUUUGCUGGAAGAACACAUGUAUUUUGUUAAGACAUUAUUGGUCAGCCAAGGUCUGAUGUGUAUACAGUGCUAGCACAAAAAUAGUUUUCCCAAAACAAAUCAAUUCACUAUCAAAACUGAUAUUUAAGUUAGAAUCUUUUAGGUAAUAGUAGAGAAUCCUAGGAAUCCUUGUCCAGCAUGGCCCUUGUCAAAGCCUCCCAUAGGAAAAUACAUUAUUCUCCUGUUUUUAUGUUAAGCAAAGACAUCUCAGCAGCUGAUGCCUCUUUAACUGUGAACUGGAAGAAAACCACCAUUCAGAUUCAGAAGUAAGACUCCACUUUCCUCUUGCACGUGGAAAUGUCUGUGGACAUGUGUAUGUGCAGGACCUCACUGAGAAUCACUGCCUUUCAUGGGAAGUAGAUCACAGAGCUUUGUACACUUUUGAACACUUUUUGUAUACUUUUUCCAUAGCCUAAAUAGCAUUUGAAAUAAUAAACCACUUUAUUUUAGCCAAGUUUUCUCAAUUUAAAAAAAAAAACAAAAACAAGUGCUUCACACUAUGUUGAAUAUCUUGGUAACAAAAAUCCCUGGAAAUGUCUCUAAUAGCACACACACUAUUGUUAAGACAAGUUCAGGUUUGUCUUCAUUAUUUCGUUUGUUUGGGUUUUGUUUUAACUUUCCUAGAGCUCAUUAAAUGUUACUGGUAUUGAAAACAUGGUCAAACUAGUGAAAAGAAUAUAAUAUGAAGUAUAAAAAGUAGAAAAAAUUUAAAAGUUAUUGAAACAGUGUUUGGUGGAAAUAUCGUCUGUCUUGUGUAAACACCAAAUUAUUUUUGUAAAUAUUUAUUCAGAGAACAUAAACAACAUAGUGAAUAAACCACCCACAGAGCAGGCAAAUUAUGCUUUAAAGGACUACUCUUUUAAUAAUUCCCUUCAACCCAAAACUACUUCAGUAAGUAUGGACAUAAAACAUAACAGAAGAAAUAAUUGUUUUUGUCUUCAUAUAGGUGUUAUAUAAACAUAUUUAACAGGAGAUCUCUAUGUAAACAAAACUUUCCAAGAGAAAGUGCUCUAAUAGGAAUUUGUCAUGAUCUGAUUACAAGUCAUUCUAGGAUGAAUGAGCCUAACACAUACAUAUUCUAAUUCUUUUUAUUUAAGAGCAACAGUAAAGUGUAUUUCUUUGUAAACCUAGUUUCUUUGGGGUUUAAUAACUUUUUAAAAUUACUGUUUUGAUGACAUUUAAUCUACAAAUUGGUUAUUUUGAUUAAAAAGAAACCAAUGUUUCUCAUCCAAUGUUCUCAUUCAAAACAACUCAUGUUUGUAGGGACAUACAUCUAGAAAAAACCUUCAGUGUUGACACAAAGAUAAGAGGGUGCUUAACUCAGAUUCAUGGCUUGGAAGCAUGAAUGUCCAGUCCUUCUUUGGAAUUACAGUCCAAGUUUUUGCAUACAUUCUGGGCAAAACUAAACAGAAUUUUCUUUUAACUAAUAAAAGAUGUGCAGGAUCAACCACCUAGUUUAGUAAAUGUAUUAGAAAAUGUCAUGUGUACUAAUUAAAUUAUAAUAUUAAAAUUUCUUUUUUAAAUCUCAA